CCCUGGUUAGCUCACUUGGUAGAGCGCUCCACCUGCAAUGGAAAGGUCCCGGGUUCGAUACCCGAACCAGGCG
rnacentral:tRNA from 2 species